rnacentral:rRNA from 1 species
CCUACGGGUGGCUGCAGUGGGGAAUAUUGGACAAUGGGGGCAACCCUGAUCCAGCCAUGCCGCGUGUGUGAAGAAGGCCCUCGGGUUGUAAAGCACUUUCAUUGAGGAAGAACGCCUGGUGGUUAAUACCCAUCAGGAAAGACAUCACUCACAGAAGAAGCACCGGCUAACUCCGUGCCAGCAGCCGCGGUAAUACGGAGGGUGCGAGCGUUAAUCGGAAUUACUGGGCGUAAAGCGCGCGUAGGUGGCUUGAUAAGCCGGUUGUGAAAGCCCCGGGCUCAACCUGGGAACGGCAUCCGGAACUGUCAAGCUAGAGUGCAGGAGAGGAAGGUAGAAUUCCCGGUGUAGCGGUGAAAUGCGUAGAGAUCGGGAGGAAUACCAGUGGCGAAGGCGGCCUUCUGGACUGACACUGACACUGAGGUGCGAAAGCGUGGGUAGCAAACAGGAUUAGAUACCCCGGUAGUC